rnacentral:tRNA from 1 species
GGGUUAGCAGAUGAGCAAAAAAGGAACUUUUAAUCAGUAGGUCGCUGGUUCGAACCCAGCAGGGCUCACCA